CCGUCAUCUGAUUGAAACGCACAAAAGUAGGAACAUUAUGCGGCCCUUACAAGAGAACUACAAAGUAACGAAAUCGAAUGCAUAUACACUACUGUUUAAAAGUUUGGGGUUUUAAUAUGAGAAAGAUGAGAAAAUCAUGCCUCAGUCCAGUGUUUGUCCUCCAAACACAGGAAAUGUGCAUCAGCUAGAACUGGAUCCUUCUCUGUACGUCCUCCAAACACAAAUAGAAAGGUUGAUGUAUGUCGCCAUCGAGGUUUUGGACCAGUGCCGGUGCAAACCAUGUUCCUAAAUGACAGCUUUACA